GCCUAGCCUCAAACUUUGACUAUUUACGCAAAAAUCCGCCAGGGUACUACGAGCCUAAGCUUAAAACCCAAAGGACUUGGCGGUGCUCCAAACCCACCUAGAGGAGCCUGUUCUAUAAUCGAUACUCCCCGUUAAACCUCACCACUUCUCGCCAAAUCCGUCUAUAUACCACCGUCGCCAGCCCACCUCGUGAGAGAACCCUAGUAGGCCCAACGAUCACACAUCAGCACGUCAGGUCAAGGUGUAGCAUAUGAAGUGGAAAGAAAUGGGCUACAUUUUCUACUCCCCUAGAAUACAACGAAAGAUCUUUAUGAAACCAGAUCAGAAGGAGGAUUUAGCAGUAAAGAGGAACUAGAGUGUUCUCUUUAAAAUGGCCCUGGAGCGCGCACACACCGCCCGUCACCCUCUUCUAUAAAAAUCUUAAACCUAAAUAAACCAAUUUAAAUCUCAAAGAAGAGGCAAGUCGUAACAUGGUAAGUACACCGGAAGGUGUGCUUGGAAU
rnacentral:rRNA from 1 species